UUGGAGGAUGAUCAAGAGCACAGCCAUUUCCCAGCCUGAGUUUACCCAACCCCCUCAACCCCGAGCCUGAAAGAGGGCAGCUGUCCAGGGGUGGGGUGGAAUGGGUGGGAAACAUUUCCCAGCAUCGGAAAUGGGGAGGCGGCUGUACCCUCGACUCCUGUGGAGAUGGGGUCUUGGCCUUCCUGAUAGACCCAGUCCAGCUGGGGAGGAAGUGACCAGAAUGCAUUCGGGAGCCCCCACAAUCACCACUGUCCCUUAGGCUGCAGCUGUCCUGGGAACGCGGCCGGAGGUACCCCCACCUCCACACUGGAGCAGGGGGUUCCGGAGAUAGUGCCAGGAUGCUGGGGGCGACCCAAGUCUGAACAAAUGUGCUCCGGAGGAGCAUUGGGGGUCGCCAGGAGAGAGGAAGACAGGGCUUAAGACCAAAGGCCCGAGCGUAGGGGAAGUGUUAAGUCUGUGUUCGCUGCAGCAGAUAGGAGGAAUGGAUGGAGCCUGAGGCUCGGGAAACAGGAAAUCGGGGUACCGAUCGGAUGCAGCCCUGGCUGGCCUAGAACUCAGAGAAAUCCAUGCUGGGGACCAGACAUGUACGGACCACACAUCACCCAAGUGAAGUUUAGAAGAUAACUUUCAGGGGAUCGAACUCUGGGACUCAGGCUUGGUGGCAAGUACCUGUACCUGCUGAGGUCUGCUGAUGCAGCCCAGGUCUGGAUGACCUCCAGCACCGGCCUCCCAGAUGCUAGGAUUACCUCGGCCUUAGUAUUUCUCCAUGAUGAAUAUGGUUGUUCUUUUGGUUUCCUUGUUGUUUCCUGAAAUAGGGUCUUCUUUAGCCCUGGCUGACCUCCAGCUCGCUCUCUAGCCCAGGCUUUCCUUGAACUUCAAACCAUCCAGAUCCUCCCACUUCCACCUCCUAAGUACGGUUAUCACAGACCCCAGCCCGUGAAAAUUUUCUUUUUAAAGUUUGCGGAACUUCAUCCUGCUGUUCAAAAAGCGCUGGCUUGAGCUGCUCUAACUCACUAGCCUUCCCAACAAAGCCAUCAAGGUCUUCUAUUCUCUCCCCCCUCCCCCCUUUUUUCUGCCGGGAAGAGAAUUUAGGACCUCAAGCUGGGGUUUUGCAAUUGCUCUACCACUGAGCCACACCCUCAGCCUAUUCCCAUUUUAAAAGAGGUGGAAAUCAAGGCACAGGGGUGGGGUGGGGGUGGGGAUUAAGUGACCUUGCGCAUAUCACUCUGUUUGAGAAGAAGCCCAGCUGCGAUUUGACCCCAGGCAACCUUAAGGCAGUAGCGUUUUACCUCCAGCAACACCGUCCUUCUCUGACUGGACAGCAUAACUGGGUAUGUAAGUUAACUGUAGUUUAUGUAAUUCUCUCAGGGUCAGGACACAGCUCCUUGAACGCACACCUUUCCGCCAAUAAGCUUUGGCCCAUGGUGUAAACUCCCACUGACUGGUUUCCCUGCAUGCCUGCCUGCUGCAAUGUUCACAAGCAGUAUGGGUGAGUGGGGGAAUCCCUUCUGUGGACAUCAGAAUCACACUAGAGCCAGACAGCCUUUGCACUACAGCAGAACAUUUCCUUGGCAGGAUGUGUUUGUGUAACCCUCGCUCCUGAUGUGACCUGACAGGGGAAACACACCUUCACUCUGACCCGUCUGAGCCUCUUUCAUAACACAGGCUUCUAUGGACAGUGGGAACUGUGAACUGCCCUGCAGUAGCCUCCUGCGGACCUUACAACUUUCUUUGUAUCCAAACGUAACGAGGCCGGUUUGCAUUUGCAAAGUCUAAGAAUUAUCUGUGACUGUUGUGCACCCCCUCCCCUGCUACUUGGUGGCCACCAUACGCCAUUCAUUAGGGGCUAUCCAAAUGUUUUGUUUGUUUGGGCAACAGGGUCUUACUAUAUAUAGUCCUGGCUGUCCUGAAACUCAUUUGUAGACCAGGCUAGCCUUGAACUCAGAGGUUCCACCUGCCUCUGCCCCAAGUGCUAGAAUUAAAGGCAUGUGCCACCACUGCCCGCUAACAUGUGCAUGUUUUAAGUUUUAAAUAUGCCUGUAUGUACAGCUGUGAACAACGUGUGUGCCUUAUGUCUGCAUAGGCCAGAAGAAGGUGUUGGGUCCCUAGAACUGGAGUUGCCCAAUGCUUGUGAGUUACCACACGGAUGCUUGGCCUCAAAUCUCGGUCCUUUAGCUAGUGCUCUUCACCAGCCCAAACACGGUCUUAAUGGUUGUAUUUCUAGCACUUCAGAGAACAGAGUUCUACAAUAGCAUGGGUAAUAGACUAAGUUCUCUGUGAACUUGUAAGGACAGUCAAAUUUCCUUGAAUCCCCGUGGAAGGUGGUGCUACAUCCACUCCAGUAGUGACAAGCGCCACAGGCUCUGAAAACCUGGGCGCUGUCCCGAGGCGAAAAGUUCACGGAAACUUAGUCUCCUGGAAUCGUGGCAUCCUGUAUAAAGAAUGCGCCAAUGUCCUUGCUUUAGUUGGUAAACGGAUCUGUGUGCUUUCCCUUAAUAUUGCUUUAUUACAAGUGCUCCUAAGAAUUGAUAUUUUGACAUAUAGCUAAGUUAGAUUCUAGGCAGUCCUUGAUCUGACCUUGGGCAUGGAUAGCUAAGUCACUGCCCUACACAGAAAUUUACCAUUAUCUUUUUUUUUUUUUUUUUUUUUUUUUGGCUUUUGGCUUUUGGUUUUUGGUUUUUGAGACAGGGUUUCUCUGUGUAGCCUCGGCUGUCCUGGAACUCACUCUGUAGACCAGGCUGGCCUUGAACUCAGAAAUUUGCCUGCCUCUGCCUCCCAAGUGCUGGGAUUAAAGGCGUGUGCCACCGCUGCCUGGAAAUUGACCAUUAUCUAGGAAGAUAACGAGGAACCAGAAGUAGAUACUUAGAACCUAAAGUGACCUAAAGAGGAACCAGAGUAGAUACUUAGAACUAUAGAUAGCUGAGUUACACCCAAACGCAAGUAUUUACAAUGGCCUAGGGGGAAGGUGGACUAUACAAUAGACUAGAGUAGGAACUAUGGCAAGGGCACAAGCCCCUGGCUUCUAAGAUUAAGUGGACCUUAGGUGGAGCUGUUUCUGAUCCCAGUUGUUAACAGAAUUUUAUCUCAGUUGGUUCCUGCCAGUUCUUCCGUGUUUGCAUUCCUCUGUUUUGUGUAAGAAUCCAGUAACCUCUUUGUACCUUGCUGGUGUCACCCAUCUUCCCUAUUUUCUUCUGUAUAAAAAGUUUGAUGCUCAAUUUGACAAAUUACAUUCAGAUCCACA